ACACAUGCAAGUCGAACGAUGAAGCCCAGCUUGCUGGGUGGAUUAUGGCGAACGGGUGAGUAACACGUGAGUAACCUGCCCUUGACUCUGGGAUAAGCCUGGGAAACUGGGUCUAAUACCGGAUAGGAACGUCCACCGCAUGGUGGUUGUUGGAAAGAUUUAUCGGUCAUGGAUGGACUCGCGGCCUAUCAGCUUGUUGGUGAGGUAAUGGCUCACCAAGGCGACGACGGGUAGCCGGCCUGAGAGGGUGACCGGCCACACUGGGAUCUGAGACACGGCCCAGACUCCUACGGGAGGCAGCAGUGGGGAAUAUUGCACAAUGGGCGAAAGCCUGAUGCAGCGACGCCGCGUGAGGGAUGACGGCCUUCGGGUUGUAAACCUCUUUCAGUAGGGAAGAAGCGAAAGUGACGGUACCUGCAGAAGAAGCACCGGCUAACUACGUGCCAGCAGCCGCGGUAAUACGUAGGGUGCGAGCGUUAUCCGGAAUUAUUGGGCGUAAAGAGCUCGUAGGCGGUUUGUCGCGUCUGUCGUGAAAGUCCGGGGCUUAACCCCGGAUCUGCGGUGGGUACGGGCAGACUAGAGUGCAGUAGGGGAGACUGGAAUUCCUGGUGUAGCGGUGGAAUGCGCAGAUAUCAGGAGGAACACCGAUGGCGAAGGCAGGUCUCUGGGCUGUAACUGACGCUGAGGAGCGAAAGCAUGGGGAGCGAACAGGAUUAGAUACCCUGGUAGUCCAUGCCGUAAACGUUGGGCACUAGGUGUGGGGACCAUUCCACGGUUUCCGCGCCGCAGCUAACGCAUUAAGUGCCCCGCCUGGGGAGUACGGCCGCAAGGCUAAAACUCAAAGGAAUUGACGGGGGCCCGCACAAGCGGCGGAGCAUGCGGAUUAAUUCGAUGCAACGCGAAGAACCUUACCAAGGCUUGACAUGUUCUCGAUCGCCGUAGAGAUACGGUUUCCCCUUUGGGGCGGGAUCACAGGUGGUGCAUGGUUGUCGUCAGCUCGUGUCGUGAGAUGUUGGGUUAAGUCCCGCAACGAGCGCAACCCUCGUUCCAUGUUGCCAGCACGUAAUGGUGGGGACUCAUGGGAGACUGCCGGGGUCAACUCGGAGGAAGGUGGGGACGACGUCAAAUCAUCAUGCCCCUUAUGUCUUGGGCUUCACGCAUGCUACAAUGGCCGGUACAAUGGGUUGCGAUACUGUGAGGUGGAGCUAAUCCCAAAAAGCCGGUCUCAGUUCGGAUUGGGGUCUGCAACUCGACCCCAUGAAGUCGGAGUCGCUAGUAAUCGCAGAUCAGCAACGCUGCGGUGAAUACGUUCCCGGGCCUUGUACACACCGCCCGUCAAGUCACCGAAAGUCGGUAACACCCCGAAGCCGGUGGCCUAACCCUUGUGGGGGGCAGCCGUCGAUAGGUGGAACCAGCAAUUUU
rnacentral:rRNA from 1 species